CACUUUAUCGGAUGCAUGAAAGCUGAUGCUCAAAGAAAUUUGUUAGUCUCUAAGGUGCCACAAGUCCUCCUUUUCUUUUUGUGGAUACAGACGAACACGGCUGCUACUCUGAAACCUGCCACUAGCUUCCGUGGAUACAGAUUCAUACCCUAGCUUUGGAGAGGAAAACAGGUGUUAAAAGGAAACAGCUAUAGGAGACAGACAGUGAAUUCCAAUGGGCACCUUUCACUGUGUGGAAAUGAUCAUGGAGGAUGCCACGUGUAAUGAAAGUAGUGAAUGGAACAGAGGCUAGUGUAGUCUGUGAAGCACACUUUCCUCACAGCAGAGAAUGAAACAACACUGGACUUGGAUGUGAUGGGAGAGUGAAUGAGGUGGGUGGGAUGGAGCGUGGGAGCUCACCUCAAAGGCAGGAGGGGUGUACGACUAAAGCUGUUGGUACGGGAACUGAGAAAGGCCACUAGAUCAGAAACCAAAGGAGCCAGAUAGUAAAAAGCCCUGAGGAAGCAAACUGUAAGCAGGAGAAAAAAGAGAAACGAAAACACAAUGGAGUUACAAUAGGAGAAAGGUUGCAUGGGAGAGGUUUCUACUGGUCAGGUUGGAUAGUCAGUGCAGUCAUCAUUUUACGCAUUCUGUAACAAGCUACAACAAAUCAGGGAUUGAGCAAUCUCUGUCUCUCUGCCUUGGUCCUUGUCUCUCCUUCCAUUUGUUUGUAUCUUUUUUCACACAUCCCUCCCUCCAUAUUAUUUGUCCAAAUUAAUAACUACUGUCUCUUAUUUCUCUCAAGCGAUCUCUGGCUUUGUGUGACUUUGGUACUAGUGGCUCCCAAAUUGGAAGAACCCAGAUAUAUUCCAGCUUUAAGUGUGACAUGAGCGUACAGACAAGAAUGAGUCAGCCUGUGGAACUUUCACUUCGUCAACCAGUAUACCCCCUCACCUUGAGCCAAUGAUCUGUCUUCAGAACCACCUCACCAGUUUUCACUGAUUUCCAUUCAGCACAUUCAACAAAAUCAGGAUAUGGAACCUGGCAUCAGAUCUGCCAAAGGACUCUGAAUAUUCAGUGGGUGACUAGCUCCAGCUUCUACUGGGACAAUGAAAAGGAGAUGGAUCCUGUAGAAGGGACCAGUUCAGUAAGCCACCAGGACCAGCACUCGCUCCUGCAGUUCCUCCACGGUUCCCUGAAGCAGAUCGUUUUCCUCCAUCAUGGCACUAAGGCGACAUUCCAGCUCCCGCUUCCUAUCGGUGCAGCAUGUACCCACUACAACAAAAACAUAGUGAUAUGAAAGAUAUCCUUUUUGAAGCAGAUGCAAUGUUCUCAGCAUCUUGAUCAGUUAUCAGAUUGACCCUAAACAGGGUCAAUGAAUUGCAGGUUUUGCAUAUGAUUAAUUAACCUUGUAAAGAUGCUUUGGAAUACUUCAACAUGAAACACCGUAUACAUAUAAGAUAACCAUCCUCUUCAGAUGAAGGAUGCUAUAAAGGUCUUUUUCUAAGACUGGUUGUCUUGCUGGAAGACCUGAUAGAUGAAGUGUUCUGCUUUAGCAGAUCAUUAUGAUUGAAGUGGGGCUGUGGUGGACUCAAUUUUACAGUUCAAGGAAGGAGGAUUGCGAACUUUACAGCAGGCACACAAGUGGAGUAUAAACUGACACAAGAAGAUUUGAGAAAAACUACAGCAGAUGGAGAUCUGAUAGCAUGUGCUCCAGUCCCUGACGAAGACAGCUUCCUGGCACAGCUGGCAAGAUCAGACUGAGGAAUAUGAUUUAUAUUCCUCAAGCACCACCUACUUGGACUCUUUGUCCUGGGUGGGGACCUGAAGUGGCUCAGUCCUAUUGCUCUUUAGGGCAUGCUGCAAGGUUCCUCAUUCCGUGGUGGCUUUUGGGGAAUAGGAUGUUGCUGAAGGGGCAUGGGGUAUUUAUAGGGAGUAUGGGGCAUUUUUCUUAUUUAUUCCUUUGCUGCAAGGUUUAACCAUUUGCUGUUGUAGUAGAUAGAGGAGGCUGCUGAUGAUAUUAUCUUUGUUUAAUUGUGCUUUUAAAUAAUUGUCAAGGCUGCCUGGAGCUUAGGAUAGGCGCCUCAUGUGUCUGUUUCUACAAAUCUAACUAAAUAAAAAGAAAUAUUUUAAGAGGACAACAACUGAAAUGAGAGCUGAAUAAAACAGACAAAGUAAUUGUGUGGCUGAGUCAGCUCCUCUUAACUGGUAGCAGGGAGAUUUCAUGCUUACAUACAGUUAGAAUCAGAUUUAUUUUUGGAAAGUUUUUUUUUUAAUUUUGGCAAUUUGCAUUUCCUUUGUCUCCUUUUCCAUGGAAGUUCAUUUAUUGUUACUAUUUUUAUUUAAAUGGAGAAACAAGACUAACCUCAUAGGGGAAAGCAUGCAGAUUAUUGCACAUUUUGAGAGCACACUGAUCUAGUACACUAAUUCUUAAGAAACUACAAUAGGCUUUUCAACUGGGAUCUGACAUAGCAAUGCUGCGUUUAAAUUAACAUUUUUCUUUUCCUCUCAUACUGUAUAUCUCCUGCUAGUGAAAAGCAAGAUUAAUGUGAUCAAUGUCAGAAGAGAAAACUUUAUUCUGCAUUCCAGGCUGGGAUGUGGCUGAUAUUUCUCUUGUACAUGCAUGAGUUUUUGGUAGGAAGAAUAGGUGUAUCAUAGCACUGCGUGCCCAAAUAUGGGGCUGAAUGCAUCUAAGAUGGUGCAGCUGACACUUUCUUCCAGCCCUUCAGCAUGCUGGUUACAACAAUAUAGGCCUAAGCUACACUAACAAUUCUAAAAGCACCAGUGCGUAGCUGUUUGACACAGUUAGGUACAUCCAUGUUCUAGCACAGCUGAUUUUUGGAGUGUGAACGGGACAACAGCCUUAUAGAACCAUGUUAGGAAAUAGAAUUACAGCUCCCUUACACUCAGACUCAGCCUCUUUUAUCCCUACUCACAUGUCCCACUUAUCAAUAUGCUGCUUACAUGCCAGCCCCCUUUUUCUGGCCCACUGACUGGACAGUUUUUCUGGCCUGGGGCAAACCUGGAGUCCUCUCCCUCACUAGCUCAGAAAUUUGCUCUUGGGGGAGAUUUAAAUGUGCAUAAGCUUCCCUUACCAUGGCCAUCCAGGCAUAUUUGUGUAAUGUGUGGCUAUGUAUAACCUUGCUACCUAAGGUUAGGCUUAUUUUUAACAAACCAUAUUACUCCAUAGAAAACUGGAGUAAAUAAUAGGUCUCAGUGUAUAGACUCUCUGUUGAACUUCUUCAUGGGUUCAAUCGGUAUUUUCAAAUCUUUGUCUGGUUUCAGUUGCUUUAACUCUUUUCUAUGUUCCCUCAUACAUUUUGGUU